AAUCCUGGCUCAGGACGAACGCUGGCGGCGUGCUUAACACAUGCAAGUCGAACGGAGCGCCAUGGAAUGAGGUUUCGGCCAAAGGAAAUGGUUGCUUAGUGGCGGACUGGUGAGUAACGCGUGAGGAACCUGCCUUUCAGAGGGGGACAACAGUUGGAAACGACUGCUAAUACCGCAUGACGCAUGACCGGGGCAUCCCGGACAUGCCAAAGAUUUAUCGCUGAAAGAUGGCCUCGCGUCCG
rnacentral:rRNA from 1 species